UACGUAGGGUGCAAGCGUUAAUCGGAAUUACUGGGCGUAAAGCGUGCGCAGGCGGUUUUGUAAGUCUGACGUGAAAUCCCCGGGCUCAACCUGGGAAUUGCGUUGGAGACUGCAAGGCUGGAGUCUGGCAGAGGGGGGUAGAAUUCCACGUGUAGCAGUGAAAUGCGUAGAGAUGUGGUGGAACACCGAUGGCGAAGGCAGCCCCCUGGGUCAAGACUGACGCUCAUGCACGAAAGCGUGGGGAGCAAACAGG
rnacentral:rRNA from 1 species